ensembl:lncRNA
CAGACCUAUGGCCUCUUGCUUCUCAAACCCAGGAGCAACACACACACAGUGCCGCAGUCUUUGUCUGACUGCUGUGAAAGUCCGAUGGCUCAGGAAUACUAAUCCCACUCGCAUGUCAUUUGGACGGACCAGAGGAGCAGCUAAUGGGGCAGGCGAGAUGAGGAGGAGACACUGUCGAUGGCUGUGUGGCAGUGUGUGUGAGUGGCAGAGUCCUCCCAGCCACAGAGAUAAAGAUUAGCAAAGGCCGAGCUGAACACAGAGGUCCAUUUACUGCACAUGGCACUGCACAUCAUCCCGCUACUGCUGCCAGUGAAAAACAGGCCUUCCACUUUGGGCAGAGUGAGACCUCAAUGGCAUGAUCAGGGGAUGGAGAGUGGAAGUGUGAUGAGAGAGGAGGAGUAAGAGAGAAAGAUAAAUGGGCUUAAUGGACUAUCAUGAAUGCAUUGGGCGGAGUCAUGCCAGUGACACCUGGAGCUGCCGCAUGCCUCCCACUCUAUCUCCACCUCACCAGUGCUCCAUCCUGGCAUGUUCCAUUAAGUUGCCAUGGUGAUUAAUGAGGUACCGCAGGGGCCGGUGUUGCUUCUAUAACCAUAGUGGUGCUGUCCACAGGACCGAGUGCUAUAAUUCUGCCUUCUCUAUAGCAGCUGGCAGAGCUUCUCCCCACCCUCUCCUUCCCAACAGAUCAUCUGCUGACCAUUAAACCAGCCUGAGCCAUGCCAAAUACCACAGCUGAUUCUUCAGGGCAGUGACGGACAUUGUAGGUACUCAUCAGCGAGUGAUAAUUCAACAGUAAAGGCUGCCACAGAAAAUGACCGUUUAUGAGUCCAAAACAGGGGGAGUCACUGUUUAAUAUUUCAUAUUCAUUAACAUUUGGAAGAAACUGUGAUUUAAAAGGGGGAAAAUCAAGUAUGAGAUUCUUUGGCAAAUGUUAAAAUGGUCCAGGAUUAAGCUGCUGUUAAUUAUUUAUGAACAUGAAUUUCACGAUUAUGGGUCUGACUGACGCACUGCAUUGAGCAGCUCCAAUUGAACACACAAUCAGUGGAUUUGAAAUAUGUCUCUGUUUCUCCAAGCUAAGUGUUAAGGCAUGAAUCAUUAAAUAUUUGCUGCAUUAAUUAUUCAGAUACGCCAAUUCUUAUUAGAAAAUAGGGUGAAGAAACUAAAAGUGUGUUAAAAUAAGACAGAAACAUCAUCUUGUCUAAGGGUCUGGAUGAAGUUAUUUGCUCUGGAGAUGUGUGUGUUCAGACUGUUUUGCUCCAUGUGCUGAAUCAGAGUCUUAUGGAAAGUGUGACCUGCUGCAGGGUGGGAUGGCUUCCUUGUUUUAUCUUUCAUUUUCUCAGCAUCCUUCCGUUAAAAGCUUCUAAAGAAUGAACUUGAUGAACUUCUUACAUUUUAGUUUGCAGCAGUUAUGCUCUUAACAAAACAGAAUCACCAUGAGGUACUGUAAUGUGUUUGUUCAGCAAGGAUUUUUUUUUAAUUAGUAUUGUAAUGUAUUUUGUUCAUUAAUUAGUUGAUUUUACAUUGAUUUUUAAUUUUAUAAUUUAACUUCCAAGCAAGGUUUUGUUAAGCCAACCAGUUUAAAUUGAUAAAAAUUUAUUUUCCUGUUACUGUGUCUAAACCCUCCUCUGACCAAUGCACAAUUAUUCACUGAAACUCAAUAGUUUUGGAUCCUGCAGCUUAAAUGUUCUGCACAUUUCUGACAGUCUUUUUGCAUAAGCAUGAUAUUAGUCAGAGGUGAACUGAGCUGAUCUUACCUUAUGAAAUCCCCUUCAUUACCAUUAUAUUAAACACUGGGCCAUUCACCAAAGUUUAGAGAGGCCAUAAUGUUCUGUCCUCGUGUUUGCCACUGAUUAAGGUUUUGAUUGAGUGAUUAAAAGCUUUCCUGUGGUUCUCCCUCCUGCUGACCUCUUGCUGUGGCGCUCUUGCUCAGAAAUCAUUUAAAUUUUCUCUAACUGUCAAGAGAGGCCCACUCGUUGCAUCAAGCCUCUUUCCUGAAUGGCUGCACACAUUAGCAUAGCGCACAUAACGAGCACUCUGACCCGAGAUGCACCCAAAAGGGGCUUUUAACGGUUAAGGCUUCACCUUUUAUCCAUAGAGAAGCUUGUAGUGCUAAACUAAACCACCCUGACCACUUUAACAGUUAAGUCACUCUGAAGUGGCGAUAAGGGCCGAGCAUUACAUAAAUUGUUAAAAGUGCUCUGGGUGAAGCACGGAUAUUUGUGUGCAUGUGGAAAAAAUGGGUGGAUCAGGUGGUGUAAUUGAUAAAAAAUAAAAAUAAAAAAUUACAGAGGUGAAAUUGCAUUUUAUGGCAAACAGCGUUGCUACGCUGGUUCUCAUUACACUGUCACAGAUGUGUAACACAGGGGCAGCUUUUGUGAGUUUCGGAUGCAUUGUGGUGUAAACAAAGACAUCUGUUCAGUGUUUAGAUUUGUAUGCUGAAAAAAAGCCUGAAAAAGCAGGCUGGUAAUACAGGAACAACAGUAUAUUGAUUAAUCCAUGACACUUGGUGAAUGUGUCACUAGAUGUGCUUCUGUUGUGUUAUGUAAACUGUUAUAUUUUAGGGUGCUAUAGUUGAAUUCAAUAAGAUUUUAAAGUGAAAUUAGGACCGUGUCCUAACUAGGUUUGAACCAGUUUCCACACAAUCACAGCCAAACAGAGCAAAUCUGGUGUUUAAUGCAGCAAAUGGAUAUGCGCUUUUGUUCUUACAAGAAUAGUUCACCUGAAAAUGAAAAUUAGCUGAAACGGUUGAAUUCUGAUGACUGGUGAGCAAGUAAUGUAAUCCUAAAUUUCUACAAAUCUGUCCCUAUUAAGAAACAAACUCAUCUACAUCUUGGAUGGCCUUAGGGUACAUUUUCAGUUUUGGGUGAAUUAUUCCUUUAAAAUGCAGAGAAACACAUUUCGAGUAAGUUGUUAGUAUCAAGUAACUUACAUUUUAGACACAAUAUGGCAGGUGCUUACGUUAUCUUACUUUUUUCCUCUGCCAAACCAAAUUAAUUCUAAAGAUCUGGUCACAUUAGUGAAAUUUUGUUGGGGGUAAAAAAAGGCCAUUGUCUGUUGUCAGUCAUGUAGUGAUGUACAAAGCACUUUCGAACCAAGCAGCUUUUGGUCAUCAUGGCAAAUUCACAUGCCCAAUGUGAAAUCUGUGUUGGGAAGACUUUAGCACUCACACGAAACUGGAUUUUGCCCAUGAGAAAAAUAGCUGAACAAUGUCAAUUCCAAACAAAGCUACAGCAUAAGAAAAUGUGCCGUCACAUUGUUGUUUUGCAGCUGAAAACAUUCAUUUCAAUAGGAAUCCACUAUACACAACUCAUUUAUUGCUUGUGCUACUGACAGAUAUUUGCUUUUGCAUGUUUAUAUGAAUGUAAGUCAUGGACAUAAAUGCAUGUAAAAUAUCACAUAGCUGUACCUCUCACUAAUUUGCCCUGCAGUGAACCCAGAGGCAGUGGAUAACAUGCCUCUUUCUCUGCGCUCUUGUCUUGUGAAUGAAUUUUAAUGGAAUGUGUGACUAGGAAGCAGUGUGGCGAUGGUCUGUGGAUAUGAAUUACAAACAUUUGACAUUGUAUUACAUGCAAUGUCUGUGACCUUCCGUGCAUAUUAAAAUACACCUGCAGUGCUUAACCAUGUGAAUAAUAAUUAUGACAGUUAUGUAAGCUGAAAUAAGGAGAUAAUUACUUUAGUGUUUUUUUAUUUAGACAGAGCAAUAUGUUUAGAUGCAUUUUUUUGUGAUUGGUGUAAGGUUACAUAGAUCCUUGUUAUCAAGUCAUGAUCUAACAACUGUGUAGCAGAUUCAUAUGUAUUGCUUUAUGUGAUCUGGAAUGCAUAGGCUAACCUUACUUGAUAUAUUUACACCUCUCAUUCUUUCUUUAUUUCUCUGCAUGUGGAUUUACUGAGGGCAUGUGAGAGGUCAGAGUAAGACACCAUAAUAAAGGAGAUGAAUAAUAGAACUGAUGGCUGCCGGUCAGGAGGGCAGGCCGGGCUAUUUUCUUGCCUCUCAUCGUCAGUCUCUCGAGCCAACACAUGACCAGGGCACCAGAGGUUAUGCUAACAACCUUUAAGUGCAGAUCCUCUGACUCCAGAGAAGCGGUCGCCCCUGCAGACAUCAGAUGUGAGGAAACAGUCAGAUAACAGCGAUUCAGCCUGUUAGGAACCUCCCGAAUGCGUUCCAGCAGAUUGUGGUCAGAUAAACAGUUCUCAGGGCAAAACUUCAAGCAGAGCACGCUCCUCGACGACCUCCUGAGGAGAGAAAAGAGGCGAGGAGAUGGGUUACUGCUUACACCUCCCAGUAUGGAGGCUGUUCUCUCAGUCUCUCCAUCCCGGCAUUGUUUUCAAUUUAGUUGUCUCCGUUCCUCAACGCGGCAGGCAGACAUGCUCUCCAGGGUAAAUGCUCGACACACCGCCGGGGUCCUCGGCAGAACGGCUGACCAGAGGAACAGCGCCCUAGCAGUUAAACAUAGGGAUUCACACUUGUCUGGUUCUGAGCUCGCUUCCAAUCUGGGUUUUGGAUACAAGUCAAAGAUAACAGCUGUACACGUUGAGGGAUCAGUGAACCCAGCUGACUCCCUGGCAGCCAGAACACCGGCAGGAACCAGCUCAUAAUUAGAAACGUUUUGGGUCAUCUUGAGGAGAAACGGAGAGAAGAGAGACAUGCAGGGAGAAUAAGAGUGACCUCCUCCUCCUCCUCUUCUUCUUCAAAGCAACACUUUUUAAAUUAUGCAGGCAGACUGGUGUGGGCUUACCUGCCCUGAGGAGCAGCAAUAUUUCAUACAAGAGGAAGCUUGUCAACAGCAGCAGGUUACAAGAAAGCCGAGGCGCUCUUGAUGGGGAAAAAAAUAAAUAGAAAGAG